rnacentral:rRNA from 1 species
CCUACGGGUGGCAGCAACUGGGAAUCUUCCACAAUGGGCGCAAGCCUGAUGGAGCGACGCCGCGUGAAGGAUGAAGGCCUUCGGGUUGUAAACUUCUUUUAUUAGGGAAGCCUGUAUGCUUUGCAUAUGGGGACGGUACCUUUUGAAUAAGCACCUGCUAACUACGUGCCAGCAGCCGCGGUGAUACGUAGGGUGCAAGCGUUAUCCGGAAUUACUGGGCGUAAAGAGUUCUGUAGGCGGAUUGAUAAGUUUAGAUUGAAACUCCAAGGCUCAACCUCGGAUUUGGUCUAAAUACUAUUAAUCUAGAGAUUCGUAGGGACUAGGGGAACGGGUGGUGGAGCAGUGAAAUGCGUUGAUAUCACCUGGAACACCAAAGGCGAAGGCACCUAGUUGGGCGAAUUCUGACGCUGAGAGACGAAAGCGUGGGGAGCAAAACGGAU